rnacentral:rRNA from 1 species
CCGGCGACCGGCGCACGGGUGAGUAACACGUAUGCAACCUGCCCUCCGCAGGGGGAUAACCCGGAGAAAUCCGGACUAAUACCGCGUGGUACACCAGUGGGGCAUCCCACGGGUGUUAAAAGGAAGCGAUUCCGGCGGAGGAUGGGCAUGCGGCGCAUUAGCUUGUUGGCGGGGUAACGGCCCACCAAGGCGACGAUGCGUAGGGGUUCUGAGAGGAAGGUCCCCCCACACUGGUACUGAGACACGGACCAGACUCCUACGGGAGGCAGCAG